rnacentral:tRNA from 1 species
GCCCUGGUGGAGCAAAUGGUUAAGCAUUAGGCUGCUAACUGAAAGGUUGGUGGUUUGAAUCCACCCAGUGGCU